GGGCAUUCUCAGGGCAGGGUGAAAUUCCCUACUGGUGGUAUAUGUUUACAUAAGCCCACGAGCGCCUAUUUUUAUGUGAUGUAGAAUUAGGGUCAGCAGAUUUGGUGAGAUUCCAAAGCCAACAGUUAAAGUCUGGAUGAAAGAGAAUAAAA
rnacentral:ncRNA from 19 species